rnacentral:rRNA from 1 species
UACGUAGGGUGCGAGCGUUGUCCGGAAUUAUUGGGCGUAAAGCGUGCGCAGGCGGUUUUGUAAGUCAGAUGUGAAAUCCCCGGGCUUAACCUGGGAACUGCGUUUGAAACUACAAGGCUAGAGUGUGACAGAGGGGGGUGGAAUUCCACGUGUAGCAGUGAAAUGCGUAGAGAUGUGGAGGAACACCGAUGGCGAAGGCAGCCCCCUGGGUUAACACUGACGCUCAGGCACGAAAGCGUGGGGAGCAAACAGG